AGUGAACGCUGGCGGUAGGCCUAACACAUGCAAGUCGAACAGCAGCACAGUAAGAGCUUGCUCUUACGGGUGGCGAGUGGCGGACGGGUGAGGAAUACAUCGGAAUCUACUUUUUCGUGGGGGAUAACGUAGGGAAACUUACGCUAAUACCGCAUACGACCUACGGGUGAAAGCAGGGGAUCUUCGGACCUUGCGCGAUUGAAUGAGCCGAUGUCGGAUUAGCUAGUUGGCGGGGUAAAGGCCCACCAAGGCGACGAUCCGUAGCUGGUCUGAGAGGAUGAUCAGCCACACUGGAACUGAGACACGGUCCAGACUCCUACGGGAGGCAGCAGUGGGGAAUAUUGGACAAUGGGCGCAAGCCUGAUCCAGCCAUACCGCGUGGGUGAAGAAGACCUUCGGGUUGUAAAGCCCUUUUGUUGGGAAAGAAAAGCAGCAGGUUAAUACCCCGCUGUUCUGACGGUACCCAAAGAAUAAGCACCGGCUAACUUCGUG
rnacentral:rRNA from 1 species